rnacentral:rRNA from 1 species
AUACGUAGGUGGCGAGCGUUGUCCGGAUUUACUGGGUGUAAAGGGCGCGUAGGCGGGGAAGCAAGUCAGAUGUGAAAUCCAUGGGCUUAACCCAUGAACUGCAUUUGAAACUGUUUCUCUUGAGUGUCGGAGAGGUAGAUGGAAUUCCUAGUGUAGCGGUGAAAUGCGUAGAUAUUAGGAGGAACACCAGUGGCGAAGGCGAUCUACUGGACGAUAACUGACGCGGAGGCGCGAAAGCGUGGGGAGCAAACAGGAUUAGAUCCCCUGGUAGUCCACGCCGUAAACGAUGAAUACUAGGUGUGGGGGGACUGACCCCCUCCGUGCCGCAGUUAACACAAUAAGUAUUCCACCUGGGGAGUACAGCCGCAAGGUUGAAACUCAAAGGAAUUGACGGGG